GACGAACGCUGGCGGCGCGCUUAACACAUGCAAGUCGAACGGAAAGGCCUGCUUUCCCUUGUGGAUUGCGGGUACUCGAGUGGCGAACGGGUGAGUAACACGUGAGUGAUCUGCCCCCAACUUGGGUAUAAGCCUGGGAAACUGGGUCUAAUUCCCGAUAGGACUGCAGGGUGGUGCCUGUGGUGGAAAACGAUUUUCUAGUGGUUGGGGAUGAGCUCGCGGCCUAUCAGCUUGUUGGUGGGGUAAUGGCCUACCAAGGCGGCGACGGGUAGCCUGCCUGAGAGGGUGGACGGCCACAGUGGGACUGAGAUACGGCCCAGACUCCUACGGGAGGCAGCAGUGGGGAAUAUUGCACAAUGGGCGGAAGCCUGAUGCAGCGACGCCGCGUGGGGGAUGACGGCCUUCGGGUUGUAAACUCCUUUCGACCGCGAGGAAGCCACCUGGUUGGAAGGGUGGUGACGGUAGUGGUAGAAGAAGCACCGGCUAACUACGUG
rnacentral:rRNA from 1 species